rnacentral:miRNA from 1 species
GGAUGAGCAAUUAUCCUGGGUUGCCUGGGACUGAGGGGUUUCCCAGGACACAGGUCACAGUGCUAAAUCUGGGGAAGU